GGUCAAACUCAAGGGCGGACCUGACCAGCGAGAGGGAGCCUCCGCCCCUCGCCGUGACGACUGCGGACCCGCCGAACCCCGCACCCGCCGCGGCCCGGGGUGCGGGCGGGCGGCCCCUCGGCGGGAGCCGGCCAGGAUGCUGGGGAGAUGAGCAAUGGAUGAUUUUGGCUUCCUCUGAAUAACUCCUGAGAGGGCAUGUGUAGUUCCUCUGUGGGAGGACAUUGUCACCUGUGUCAACAGAUUUGAGGCUUUAGCUAAACUUGUGGGAGGGAAAGAUACGGCAUGUGGAAGACACUGUGCAUGAGGUGAAUGAGUUCUUCCAGCUCUCUUCUCCAGCCCUGGAGCUCCAGAAAGAGGAGGAUGAGCCAGACCCACUGCCCCCAGGUGAAUGCUGCACAUUUGUGGUGGCUCCCAGCAUCUCCCCUUGUGAGUGGCAGGAAGAUAAACUUCACCCACUGGAGAAAAGUGGCCCAGAUGGAGAAAAGCUGGGACCCUGGGCCCUGAAGAGCCACUGGGUCCUGGAGCUGCAGGUGAGGAGAGUCCACCUCGCUCAGAGGAUUGAAGACCUGGAGUGGGAGCUGUCCCUGCUCCAUGAGGCGGCCAACAGCAGUUCGAGCAUGGGAGGGAGCUGGCCCAGCUGACACAGCGGCCUAAGGGGCACUGAGUCACAUCAGAUGCUGCAUGGUGGCCACCUCCGGGAGGUGCCUUCUCACCGAGAACAUGAACGGGUUCCCCUGGUAGGAAGGAGUGGGCAUCUGGGGCCCGGAGUGUGUGCUGGUUUUACGACGUGCUCCUACAGGGAGACACCUGGAUUUCUUUCAGAGCCUGGACCUCAGCUUGUGCUCAAUUCUGCCUUGAACUUUCUGGGGUGAGGGAAAAUAAACUGACAUGGGUUGACAAAAUCAGGGUGUGCUCCUAUCAGAGUCUGUGCCUCAGUUUUCUCACUCAGCUGUGGGCCGUGGCUUCCCCCAAAAAACUUCAGUUGGGGCCCCUGGCUUGAGGGGUGAGAAGUGCUUGGGCGGGGCCUGAGAACAUACGUGCAGCCAGAGCACAUCCACGCCCCAUCUUCCAUCACACCUCACAGCUGAGUCUCCUGGGCCCCCAGUGUGGCUUGUAGGGAGUCCAAGUAGCCAUGUCCCCUCCUGGCUCCAGCCAACCUCCUGGACACAGAGGAGGGUUCUGUCUGUGGCCUGGGCCUCGUGACCACAUCAGAUGUCCCAGUACCAAAGGAGACUCUCUGAGAAGAGCCAGAGCCACAUCCAGUCGAACUGGAGUUCUCUGACCCUGGACAUACACAACCCUGUUCUCCGAGCCUUGCUCCAGCAGUUCCCUCCUCAGAAGGUCCCUCCCGCUGCGCUGUGCCCAGGUGAGAUGUGCUUCAUCUCUAAGACCCAGCCAAGAGGCCCCUCAGUCCACAGAGCUUUUUCCCACCCCUUCCCAGAUUUCUACCCCGUCUCCACCACAUGUCUGCUUCCCAUGAGUCACCUGUGCCCUGGAUGGCCCUAUCUUCCAGUCGGAGCUCCUCAAAGCACGGUGACGAACGAAGAGUGGCUGGGUUCAGAGUGAAGCAGCAAUGGACAGAGACCUCUGAAGAGGAAAGCAGUAAUAUUUCUCAGGAUGUCAGGUGACUGCCAAUAAAAUAGUCUAUGUAGGAUAGGAACCAGUAAGUGUAGUAGAAACUCUGGAAUUAAAUCAAUGGAAAUUUU